rnacentral:rRNA from 1 species
ACUCAAAUGAAUAGACGGGGGCCCGCACAAGCGGCGGAGCAUGUUGCUUAAUUCGAGGCAACGCGAAGAACCUUACCAAGGCUUGACAUUCAGGGAAAACUGGCAGAGAUGUCAGGUCCGCAAGGGCCCUGAACAGGUGGUGCAUGGUUGUCGUCAGCUCGUGUCGUGAGAUGUUGGGUUAAGUCCCGCAACGAGCGCAACCCUCGUCCUAUGUUGCCAGCGGUUCGGCCGGGGACUCAUAGGAGACUGCCGGGGUCAACUCGGAGGAAGGUGGGGAUGACGUCAAAUCAUCAUGCCCCUUAUGUCUUGGGCUGCAAACAUGCUACAAUGGCCGGUACAAAGGGCUGCGAUACCGCGAGGUGGAGCGAAUCCCAUAAAGCCGGUCUCAGUUCGGAUCGGGGUCUGCAACUCGACCCCGUGAAGUCGGAGUCGCUAGUAAUCGCAGAUCAGCAACGCUGCGGUGAAUACGUUCCCGGGCCUUGUACACACCGCCCGU